rnacentral:lncRNA from 1 species
CCAUGCUGAAGCCUUUCUUGUGUUCGUUUGCCAAAACACGCAGUAGAGCCAGGAGCCAAGGCAUUCCUCUGCUCCCUGUUCACAGGCAAGAGAUGGAAUCAUUUCUUUUGGACACGCUGUUGAACUGCAUUAUCAACCAGACCGACUGAGAGCGUAAGGCCGGAUGCAGCAGGCUCCUUGGAGUUACAGCACAUGCCAGGCCCGGGAGCACAGUGGGAACGAUAUCCAGACUGUUGUAUGUGCAGCAGCAGAACCAGGGAGCUUCUCCACAAAUUGACUGAGCGGGGUAAGAAAAAUGAAAAGCCUGGGAUUCCAGCUUAUUGCAAGAAAUAUCCAGAAAGGGCACAGCAGGAAUGCCGGCAGCAGCCUGGGUGCCCAGCCUUGCUCCUGAAAGGGCGCGGCCUCAGCCACUUUGUAGCUGGUUCCGGGCGGCUCCGCCUGCGGGGUCGAGAACCCUUCCCGGACCGACCUGGGGCCUGGGGAGUUUGUCUCCAGCGUCUGCGGGGCUGCAGCGCUCAGAGUGCUAAGCGCAGGAAAUAACAGCAAAGCCUCCUCACGUGCUCCGGUGACCACGAGACCAAGCCAGAUCCUGUGGUCGCAGGGGCUUCAGCCUGCAGCAGGCACAGCAAGCCUACAAAUGAAUUCCACCUGACCGCAAAGGAUAGCUGGAGCCAACAUUCACCUCUAGCUGGAACCUUUGUCCACAGACACAGUCCUGGUGGACAGUAUUCAGAGGCGAGGGCUUCUGCCAGGCACCUUGACCCACGCUAAUCAGAAGUUAACGAAACAACAUUUUGCAGGACUCUCUAUCUCUCUCUCCUUAAAAGCUCUUUUCCCACCCAAAUGGGGGAGACUGAUCUGAGUCUUGUCUCCAGUCUCUUUUUCCGACUGCCUGACAAAUAAAACCUUUUUCUCGGGGAAAACCUGUUGCCUCAGACUUUGGCUUCCUGUGUGCAAUGGUCAAUGAGCCCGCGACUCCAGCUCGGUAACAGAAGGUCACACAGCCUCCAAGGCAAACACCCGCUAGAAACAACAGUUACCUACUCAGGCC